rnacentral:rRNA from 1 species
UACGUAGGGUGCAAGCGUUGUCCGGAAUUAUUGGGCGUAAAGAGCUCGUAGGCGGUUAGUCGCGUCUGCUGUGAAAUUUCGGGGCUCAACCCCGAACUUGCAGUGGGUACGGGCAGACUAGAGUGUGGUAGGGGAGACUGGAAUUCCUGGUGUAGCGGUGAAAUGCGCAGAUAUCAGGAGGAACACCGAUGGCGAAGGCAGGUCUCUGGGCCACUACUGACGCUGAGAAGCGAAAGCAUGGGGAGCGAACAGG